rnacentral:rRNA from 1 species
GACGAACGCUGGCGGCGUGCCUAAUACAUGCAAGUAGAACGCUGAAGAGAGGAGCUUGCUCUUCUUGGAUGAGUUGCGAACGGGUGAGUAACGCGUAGGUAACCUGCCUUGUAGCGGGGGAUAACUAUUGGAAACGAUAGCUAAUACCGCAUAACAAUGGAUGACACAUGUCAUUUAUUUGAAAGGGGCAAUUGCUCCACUACAAGAUGGACCUGCGUUGUAUUAGCUAGUAGGUGAGGUAACGGCUCACCUAGGCGACGAUACAUAGCCGACCUGAGAGGGUGAUCGGCCACACUGGGUCUGAGACACGGCCCAGACUCCUACGGGAGGCAGCAGUAGGGAAUCUUCGGCAAUGGGGGCAACCCUGACCGAGCAACGCCGCGUGAGUGAAGAAGGUUUUCGGAUCGUAAAGCUCUGUUGUAAGUCAAGAACGAGUGUGAGAGUGGAAAGUUCACACUGUGACGGUAGCUUACCAGAAAGGGACGGCUAACUACGUG